GAUGAACGCUGGCGGCGUGCCUAAUACAUGCAAGUCGAGCGAACAGACGAGGCGCUUGCUCCUCUGACGUUAGCGGCGGACGUGUGAGUAACACGUGGAUACCCUACCUAUCAUACUGGUAUCACUUCGGGACACCGGCGCUAAUACCGGAUAAUCUCUUGCACCGCAUUGUUCAAUAGUGAAAUACGGUUUUGCUGUCACUUAUCGCUGCUUUCGCGCCGCAUUAGCUAGUUGGUACGUUAACGGCUUACCAAGGCAACGAUGCGUAGACGACCUGAGAGGGUGGUAGGCGACACUGGAACGGAGACACGGUCCAGACGACUACGGGAGGGAGCAGUAGGGAAUCGGACGCAAUGGGGGAAAGCAUGACGGAGCAACGCGGCGUGAGUGAUGAAGGUCUCGGGAGCGGAAAAAUCGGUUAUGAGGGAAGAACAAAUGUGUAAGGAACUAUGCACGGCUUGACGGUACCUAAUAAGAAAGCCACGGCUAACUACGUG
rnacentral:rRNA from 1 species